CUGGGACAAUGUGGCUGUGUUAGUUGAUGAAACACUUAUACCACAAGAGCUGUGUAGCCCGAUCCUACAGACCCCAACACACCAGAACAUAAAACAAAAGGUCCUUCUAAUAAGGAAUAAGAACGUUGGAAACAGACAAUCCGUUCCUGAACAAAGGAUCCGUAAGGGUGAUGGCUACUAAACCUCUCUGUGAAAGCUGCUACCCCUAAAAACGUUCACCAUCGUAAGCCUAAGAAGCAAUUUAUUGAGCCUGAGCCAUACCAGAAAGGCUUCCCGCCCAAAAGACGCAACCAUUCCUUUGUUCCGGUCUCAUCUUACCCGGCCACUGUAUCUUAUGAUCCUAACACAGUUGCAGAGCAACUAAAGGCUACGGAAGACUUAGUUUCAUUGUAUUUGACGCCUGAGGACGAUUUCACACAGCCACCCCCAUGGAGCAGAAACGGAUGUCUACACAAGCCUAAGAAGGGAUCUAAGAAGAGAUCUAUUGAGCCAUACACGGACGGUUUCCCACCCAAAAGACCGCCCUUCCUUUGUUCCAGACUCCUCCUACACGGCCUCUGAUCCUAACACAGCUGCAG